GGCGGAGUAACCCAAGCGGCAGAGGUAACGUUGGAGGCCACCCCAAACUUAAAUUCUCACUCCAGCUUCAGUAUUAUCACCGAACGCCAAGUCGAGAGUCAUGGGUCGGGAAUCGUUGGAUGCUGGUUCAAUUCCAGCCUGACCCGCCU
rnacentral:tRNA from 1 species